ensembl:lncRNA
GUUUGUGUGUGUGUUCCCUGCAGGAGUGGGGAAUAAUGAAUUCUUUACGGUCAACUCGUCUGACCUUUGACCCAUCCACAGUCUGUAUACAUGCGGUUUGAGCGCACAGGGGGAAAGAUUUACAGUGCCAUGCCAACGACCUGAUGGCCCUGUGUGGCUCUCCAAUGCUUCCCAUGGGUUGCCAUGCCAACGACCUGAUCGACCUGUGUGGCUCUCCAACGCUUCCCAUGGGUUGCCAUGCCAACGACCUGAUGGCCCUGUGUGGCUCUCCAAUGCUUCUCAUGCGUUUGACCUGUUUCUGUGAGUGAUUGGAAUGGGACUAGGGCCAUCAUGGACCAUCAUGGACAUUCAUUAGAUGCUUCAACCGCUGACCAGUAAACACACCCAGCUAGUGAGAUGGCGGCUAACUAUGGACGACGUCUGGUCCAGUUUAGAGACUUGUGUGUGUGUGUGUGUGUGUUGGGGUCAGCUAUUAUUGGAAGGACUGCUACAUGUGAGAGAAUUCGAAGCAGGAGCAUUUACAUUUUCUACUUAGUGCACCUUUAAUGCAGAUACCGCAUACGCAGCUUCCAGCAGACUGUAGUGAGAACAGAUCUGGGGCCGAGCUACAACUGCGAGCACAGUGCUGGACAGUGAGUAAACCUCACUCCCCGACACCUUAGGAGACGUGCUAGCGACAGACGCUAGCACUGACAGGUUUUAGCGACAGAUAUUAGCACUGACAGGCUUUAGCGACAGACGCUAGCACUGACAGGUUUUAGCGACAGACGCUAGCACUGACGGGUUUUAGCGACAGAUGCUAGCACUGACGGGUUUUAGCGACAGACGCUAGCACUGACGGGUUUUAGCGACAGACGCUAGCACUUACGGGUUUUAGCGACAGACGCUAGCACUGACGGGUUUUAGCCUCCUGGUUGCUAGUUCAAGUCCGGUGAGAGACUGUGCUGUCUACACAGUGCAGGUUACAUCAGCUUCUGUAGUUUGUCUUGAUGUUCUAAUAGCUGAUUCCUAGGGUGCUGUACUGGGGCAGGUCUGGUUCCUAGGGUGUUCUACUGGGGCAGGUCUGGGCCAUAUCCAGCCCAGAAUCAGAUCCUGUUCCAACUACAGCCUCACAGCAAGAAGGUCCUGGGUUCAAUUCCCACAUGGGGCGCUUUUGGUCCUGGGGGGUAGGUUCUC